GAUGAACGCUGGCGGCGUGCCUAAUACAUGCAAGUCGAGCGAACGGACUAGAAGCUUGCUUCUCUGAUGUUAGCGGCGGACGGGUGAGUAACACGUGGAUAACCUACCUAUAAGACUGGGAUAACUUCGGGAAACCGGAGCUAAUACCGGAUAAUAUUUUGAACCGCAUGGUUCAAAAGUGAAAGACGGUCUUGCUGUCACCUAUAGAUGGAUCCGCGCUGCAUUAGCUAGUUGGUAAGGUAACGGCUUACCAAGGCAACGAUGCAUAGCCGACCUGAGAGGGUGAUCGGCCACACUGGAACUGAGACACGGUCCAGACUCCUACGGGAGGCAGCAGUAGGGAAUCUUCCGCAAUGGGCGAAAGCCUGACGGAGCAACGCCGCGUGAGUGAUGAAGGUCUUCGGAUCGUAAAACUCUGUUAUUAGGGAAGAACAUAUGUGUAAGUAACUGUGCACAUCUUGACGGUACCUAAUCAGAAAGCCACGGCUAACUACGUG
rnacentral:rRNA from 1 species